rnacentral:rRNA from 1 species
CCUACGGGAGGCAGCAGUGGGGAAUAUUGCACAAUGGGGGAAACCCUGAUGCAGCGACGCCGCGUGAGUGAAGCAGUAAUUCGUUAUGUAAAGCUCUAUCAGCAGGGCAGAAAAUGACGGUACCUGAGUAAGAAGCCCCGGCUAACUACGUGCCAGCAGCCGCGGUAAUACGUAGGGGGCAAGCGUUAUCCGGAUUGACUGGGUGGAAAGGGAGCGUAGACGGCAGUGCAAGUCUGGAGUGAAAGGCGGGGGCUCAACCCCCGGACUGCUCUGGAAACUGUACGGCUGGAGUGCAGGAGAGGUAAGUGGAAUUCCUAGUGGAGCGGUGAAAUGCGUAGAUAUUAGGAGGAACACCAGUGGCGAAGGCGGCUUACUGGACUGUAACUGACGUUGAGGCUCGAAAGCGUGGGGAGCAAACAGGAUUAGAUACCCCGGUAGUC